rnacentral:rRNA from 1 species
CUAUCUACAGGCUUAACACAUGCAAGUCGAGGGGCAGCAUGGUCUUAGCUUGCUAAGACUGAUGGCGACCGGCGCACGGGUGAGUAACACGUAUCCAACCUGCCGUCUACUCUUGGACAGCCUUCUGAAAGGAAGAUUAAUACAAGAUGGCAUCAUGAGUCCGCAUGUUCACAUGAUUAAAGGUAUUCCGGUAGACGAUGGGGAUGCGUUCCAUUAGAUAGUAGGCGGGGUAACGGCCCACCUAGUCUUCGAUGGAUAGGGGUUCUGAGAGGAAGGUCCCCCACAUUGGAACUGAGACACGGUCCAAACUCCUACGGGAGGCAGCAGUGAGGAAUAUUGGUCAAUGGGCGAGAGCCUGAACCAGCCAAGUAGCGUGAAGGAUGACUGCCCUAUGGGUUGUAAACUUCUUUUAUAAAGGAAUAAAGUCGGGUAUGCAUACCCGUUUGCAUGUACUUUAUGAAUAAGGAUCGGCUAACUCCGUGCCAGCAGCCGCGGUAAUACGGAGGAUCCGAGCGUUAUCCGGAUUUAUUGGGUUUAAAGGGAGCGUAGAUGGAUGUUUAAGUCAGUUGUGAAAGUUUGCGGCUCAACCGUAAAAUUGCAGUUGAUACUGGAUAUCUUGAGUGCAGUUGAGGCAGGCGGAAUUCGUGGUGUAGCGGUGAAAUGCUUAGAUAUCACGAAGAACUCCGAUUGCGAAGGCAGCCUGCUAAGCUGCAACUGACAUUGAGGCUCGAAAGUGUGGGUAUCAAACAGGAUUAGAUACCCUGGUAGUCCACACGGUAAACGAUGAAUACUCGCUGUUUGCGAUAUACGGCAAGCGGCCAAGCGAAAGCGUUAAGUAUUCCACCUGGGGAGUACGCCGGCAACGGUGAAACUCAAAGGAAUUGACGGGGGCCCGCACAAGCGGAGGAACAUGUGGUUUAAUUCGAUGAUACGCGAGGAACCUUACCCGGGCUUAAAUUGCAGAUGAAUUACGGUGAAAGCCGUAAGCCGCAAGGCAUCUGUGAAGGUGCUGCAUGGUUGUCGUCAGCUCGUGCCGUGAGGUGUCGGCUUAAGUGCCAUAACGAGCGCAACCCUUGUUGUCAGUUACUAACAGGUUCCGCUGAGGACUCUGACAAGACUGCCAUCGUAAGAUGUGAGGAAGGUGGGGAUGACGUCAAAUCAGCACGGCCCUUACGUCCGGGGCUACACACGUGUUACAAUGGGGGGUACAGAGGGCCGCUACCACGCGAGUGGAUGCCAAUCCCAAAAACCUCUCUCAGUUCGGACUGGAGUCUGCAACCCGACUCCACGAAGCUGGAUUCGCUAGUAAUCGCGCAUCAGCCACGGCGCGGUGAAUACGUUCCCGGGCCUUGUACACACCGCCCGUCAAGCCAUGGGAGCCGGGGGUACCUGAAGUGCGUAACCGCGAGGAGCGCCCUAGGGUAAAACUGGUGACUGGGGCUAA